rnacentral:rRNA from 1 species
UAUUGGAUGUAGCCGUAUGUCAGAUUAGCUUGUUGGUGGGGUAAUGGCCUACCAAGGCGACGAUCUGUAGCUGGUCUGAGAGGACGAUCAGCCACACUGGGACUGAGACACGGCCCAG